rnacentral:rRNA from 1 species
CCUACGGGGUGCAGCAGUGGGGGAUAUUGCACAAUGGGGGGAACCCUGAUGCAGCGACGCCGCGUGGGUGAAGAAGCGCCUCGGCGCGUAAAGCCCUGUCAGCAGGGAAGAAAAUGACGGUACCUGAAGAAGAAGCCCCGGCUAACUACGUGCCAGCAGCCGCGGUAAUACGUAGGGGGCAAGCGUUCUCCGGAUUUACUGGGGGGAAAGGGGGCGCAGACGGCGAUGCAAGCCAGGAGGGAAAGCCCGGGGCCCAACCCCGGGCCUGCUCUUGGAACUGCGUGGCUGGAGUGCAGGAGGGGCAGGCGGAAUUCCUGGUGUAGCGGUGAAAUGCGUAGAUAUAAGGAGGAACACCGGUGGCGAAGGCGGCCUGCUGGACUGCAACUGACGUUGAGGCCCGAAAGCGUGGGGAGCAAACAGGAUUAGAUACCCGAGUAGUC